rnacentral:misc_RNA from 1 species
AAAUUCAUAGAAUUAGAGGAACUCAUUUCCUUGGACGAAAUGAUAAAGAAAUUCAUAACGAUUUCCAUCCUUGACACCAUUGGCUACUAAUUCCAGACACUCAUUAAACUUACAACAAAUAUGGAUUUCAUAUGGCACAUAUUUUAUUGCAAUAUUUGAGCAAAGAAAACAAAGACUGGACUUAGUGUUUUUGCAAGAAAGUACAAACCUUUAGCAUGCUUUUCAGCUGAUGUUAUCUUGUUACAAUUACUGAAGGUACUUCACAGGCACAAGGCUAAGUGAUAUCUUUUUAGAGACGGUAAGACUAACACCAGCUUUCUCUUCCAUGUUAAUGUCUUCUCUCUUCAUCCCAUUGGGCAGUUUCCAAUCGAACCAAUACAGAAGAUUUGCAAGUAUAUUCUCUGUUGUUAUUGUUGCCAUAUGUAUUCCAGGACAAAUUCUUCUACCAGCUCCAAAUGGCAAAAACUCAAAAUUUUGUCCCUUAAAGUCAAUGGAGCUAUCAGCAAAUCUUUCAGGAAAGAACUGUUCUGGGUCCUUCCAGUACUGAGGAUCGCGCCCAAUUGCCCAGGCAUUAACUUGGAUGAUGGUUUUAGGAUAAAUAUCAUAGCCACUGAUUUUACAGUGAGAAAUGGUUUCUCUUGGAAGUAGUAGUGGGGCUGCAGGAUGCAAUCUGAAAGUCUCUUUUAUUACCAUCUUGAGGUAUUCAAGCUUAUCAAUAUCAUCUUCAGUCAAUCUUCCUUUCUUUCCAACCUGAUUUCUUAUUUCAUCUUGCACUUUCUUCAUCACUCUUGGAUUUCUUGCAAGCUCUGCCAUUGCCCAAUUCACAGUAAUAGCAGAAGUGUCUACACCAGCUGCAAAUAAAUUCUGAUAGACAAAUAUAACAGUUCAGUAAUAAAGGCUUAGUUUCAGAAUUAGUUCUUUUUCAUCUUAAUUAGAUGAUGCUAAUAAGCCUAUUGUGAUGCCUAUACCAUAAUACUUGCACGCAACAUCUUAGUUAAUAAAAUGGACUACAUGUAUAAGAUAAAUUAUAAAUGUCAUUUGACUGCAGAAUUUACAAUCAUAUACAGAAGUUGGCAACUUACCAGGAGGACUCCCUUAAUGUUAUUAUUUGUGAACUUAACAUUUCCAAGUUCAGUUUGUUCCUUCUCUAUUCCUAACAGCACAUCAAUCAUGUCAUCCUUCUCCUUUUUCCUAUCCGGCUUAAGAUGAUCAUUGAAUACACAUUGGAAGAAAGUAUCUAACUCAUGGAAAACUCUUUCAGUCCUGGCAUGAUGAGCAGUUAUCCAAUCAAUGAUCCAGCCAACAUAUGGGAUUAAUUCACCCAUGGAGAAACUUCCAGCCACAGCUUCAGCAUCAUGAACGACUUCAUGAAAUCUAUUCCUGUCAAAGUUAGUACCACGAUAAUCAAAUCCAAAAGACAUUUUGAAGGUGAUAUUUGCAGUAAGGGUGAACAACUUUUCAGUAAGAUUAACAGGAGUAGCAGAAGCUGCUGAUUCGGAGAUUGAAUUGAUGAACAAUUCAAUUUCUCCUUCCCUUAGGGACUGAAAAGACUUCACCCUUUUCAAGCUAAAGAGCUCAAGAAUAAUUAGUUUUUUCAUGUUUCUCCAGUAAUCACCGUAUGGUGCAAAGGCUACAUCUGAAUAAUUGUAGGAGAGUCUGCCAGCGCCAGAUAAUUGAGGUCUGCUGCAACAGGCAAGAUCAUGAUCUUUUAAGACCUCUUUUGCUGCCUCAGCAGAGGAGACUACAACAAUUGGUUUACAACCAAAUUUGAGAAGCAUGACAGGGCCAUAUUUCUUGGAGAGUUGACAGUAAGAUUGGUGAAGCAAUUCACCAAGUUGGUGCAGGUUGCCUAAAAUUGGAAACUUGGGAGGGCUUGGUGGGAGCUGCUUAUCUCGUCUUUUGUCUUCCUUCUUUUUGAAGACGAAGAAUAGAGACAGGACUAAGAAAACAAGCCACAAAGGGAGAGCAUAAGGAGCCAUUAGAGCUUUUGCCUAGUUGUGUCUCAAGUACCUACUUUCAACUAGCCUCAGCUUAGCUGAUAAUUAAACCUGAAAAAAAUGCAAGUGCUUGCCAACAAAAGAAAUAAUGGAAAUAAGAAAUAAUGGAAAUCGAUUUCCGUAUAUGAUGGAAAUCGAUUUCCGUAUACUUGCAAUCAAAAGAAAUCAAACAAGGACUGGAAGUUAUGGCUGACAUUGUUCUACGUAUGCACAAAACACAAGAUAGACAAUGAAAGUCUCAAGCUCAUGUAUUUGAAAGUCGAAAAAAAAAAAG